GAUGAACGCUGGCGGCGUGCCUAAUACAUGCAAGUCGAGCGAACGGACGAGAAGCUUGCUUCUCUGAUGUUAGCGGCGGACGGGUGAGUAACACGUGGAUAACCUACCUAUAAGACUGGGAUAACUUCGGGAAACCGGAGCUAAUACCGGAUAAUAUUUUGAACCGCAUGGUUCAAAAGUGAAAGACGGUCUUGCUGUCACUUAUAGAUGGAUCCGCGCUACAUUAGCUAGUUGGUAAGGUAACGGCUUACCAAGGCAACGAUGCAUAGCCGACCUGAGAGGGUGAUCGGCCACACUGGAACUGAGACACGGUCCAGACUCCUACGGGAGGCAGCAGUAGGGAAUCUUCCGCAAUGGGCGAAAGCCUGACGGAGCAACGCCGCGUGAGUGAUGAAGGUCUUCGGAUCGUAAAACUCUGUUAUUAGGGAAGAACAUAUGUGUAAGUAACUGUGCACAUCUUGACGGUACCUAAUCAGAAAGCCACGGCUAAUUACGUGCCAGCAGCCGCGGUAAUACGUAGGUGGCAAGCGUUAUCCGGAAUUAUUGGGCGUAAAGCGCGCGUAGGCGGUUUUUUAAGUCUGAUGUGAAAGCCCGCGGCUCAACCGUGGAGGGUCAUUGGAAACUGGAAAACUUGAGUGCAGAAGAGGAAAGUGGAAUUCCAUGUGUAGCGGUGAAAUGCGCAGAGAUAUGGAGGAACACCAGUGGCGAAGGCGACUUUCUGGUCUGUAACUGACGCUGAUGUGCGAAAGCGUGGGGAUCAAACAGGAUUAGAUACCCUGGUAGUCCACGCCGUAAACGAUGAGUGCUAAGUGUUAGGGGGUUUCCGCCCCUUAGUGCUGCAGCUAACGCAUUAAGCACUCCGCCUGGGGAGUACGACCGCAAGGUUGAAACUCAAAGGAAUUGACGGGGACCCGCACAAGCGGUGGAGCAUGUGGUUUAAUUCGAAGCAACGCGAAGAACCUUACCAAAUCUUGACAUCCUUUGACAACUCUAGAGAUAGAGCUUUCCCCUUCGGGGGACAAAGUGACAGGUGGUGCAUGGUUGUCGUCAGCUCGUGUCGUGAGAUGUUGGGUUAAGUCCCGCAACGAGCGCAACCCUUAAGCUUAGUUGCCAUCAUUAAGUUGGGCACUCUAAGUUGACUGCCGGUGACAAACCGGAGGAAGGUGGGGAUGACGUCAAAUCAUCAUGCCCCUUAUGAUUUGGGCUACACACGUGCUACAAUGGACAAUACAAAGGGCAGCGAAACCGUGAGGUCAAGCAAAUCCCAUAAAGUUGUUCUCAGUUCGGAUUGUAGUCUGCAACUCGACUACAUGAAGCUGGAAUCGCUAGUAAUCGUAGAUCAGCAUGCUACGGUGAAUACGUUCCCGGGUCU
rnacentral:rRNA from 1 species